AAAUUAAUUUUUGAUUAAAACCGUGCAUUCUGUGUGAAUGUGUAUUUGAAUGUUAACAUUUCGUUUUUAGUUAUGUAAUCAUUUGAAAGUCCCUUCAAGUUGAAAAAGCACAUGCAUUCUUAUUAUGGCCACACCUGGCGUACUAAAUCAACUGUGAUCAGAUUGGUUAAAAAAAUAGAGGCUGCGUGUGAUUUCAGUUCCGGUUCAAUGCAUUUGUAAUGAGGGGGCGCACUUCUGUGCAGUGUGCACAUUAGUCGUCGUUGCCAGCAGGCUGCACCCGACAGCCAAGGGAUUUACAUGUGGCAUAGCAAGUCUCUGAAGCAGUGUCUCACACUCGAGUCCUGACCGAGGGCCUUGAAACUGGCAUGCCUGUUCAAAACAUCUCCAGGACAACAAGGUUAUUUUGUGUUGACGUGUAUUGAAUUCUUAAGGGCAAAGAAGAUGAAGGAGAAUGCGUGCAGUGGGCUGAAUAGAGAAUUCGUGAAUCAAAGGCAACACCAUCAAAUGCAUUAUGAAAUUAAGCACUAUCAGGUUGUCAAGGCUGUAGCUCAGCGGGCACAUGGUCCUGGAUACCUGAUAUAUAUAUAUUUUUUUUUUUAACUAUUUAUAUAUGGAAUCUGAAUGCACUCCAAGAAAUGCUGCAGUUCUUUGGGCCACAAGAGGCCAAGAAGCUCUACUACAAGAAGUUAAGGCAGAAGAUGAAGAUUAUUACAAAUUAUCCAAGUCAGUUCCGACCAAGUAAUUUGAUUGGACAAGAGGCAUUCCAGUGCUGAUAUAGAGUAUAACAGCACUGGGUCUUUUAACUAUACACGUAUCGCUCCCCUUUACGGGUGUUCUCAUAACCGUUAAUGUUAUUAACAAUCUUUUUGUAGCUUAGAUUGCAGCUAACUUUGCACAGCAAAUAUGAACAUGUUUCCAGGAAUAACAUUGGAGUUGAAUUAAGAAUGGUCGCCAGAAGAGGACCAAGGGAACCUAAUGUAAUGCUAAUGUGUUAAUGUGUUGCUUGGCAACAGUUUGACCAGUUGCGGAUCUAUUUGUGUUGGCGGAGCCAAAUAAAUCAUCAAUGAACCAAAGAAAUCUGAUCAUAAUAUGUUGUUAAUUAUUAUUGUUAACUAAUGAUUGGUGCUUGUAGAACUGUUGUAUAAAAGCAAUAUCACUCAGGAGGGAGUGCUUUUGUACUACGGCUGGGAUUCGGUCGUAGGUAUGAGGCCGUUGGCCGAGUGCCGAAGAGAAUCACAGCCGUGCUGAUAUUCAGUACAACAGCACUCUCGUGUGAUAUUGCUUAAUUAUUCUGUUCCCAAAUUCCAUAAAAAGUCUGAUUACUAAGAAAUAUUGAUGUAUCAUUACUUUUGUCAGUUUCAAGUUUUUGUUUUAACACAGGUGUACCAACAAUGUGUAUGAUGUAUGACUACCUAAGCUGUACAUGUCUUUAAAGAUAUUGAUGCAGAUAUUUCCACAUUUACAUUUCUCAGUGCAAAUGGGUUUUUGAAUAAGUUUCUGAAACUAGUGCUUUGAGAUGUUUGAGAUAACAAACAUUUAAUAUGUUGGAAAUAUUUUUGGUCGCUGGUCAGCUUAAUAUUUAAUAUAUUGUUUCUUAUGGCACAUUAACGAGAAUGUCAAACUGGCACUGAAUGUUGAAAGGUUGCUGACCCCUGGUUACUGUAUUCCCUCUCCCGCUCCAUUACAUGUAUGUUCGUUUAUUUCAAGUUAACUUGUUUUUCUGUGUUAUUACAACCUUGCAACACAUUUCCAUUAAUGUAGUUUGUUUAUUCAAAUGGGUAUUAAAACUUAAUCUUUGUCAA